rnacentral:rRNA from 1 species
UACGUAGGGGGCAAGCGUUGUCCGGAUUUAUUGGGCGUAAAGAGCGUGUAGGCGGUUUGGUAGGUCCGUUGUGAAAACUCGAGGCUCAACCUCGAGACGCCGGCGGAAACCAUCAGGCUAGAGCCCGGAAGAGGAGAGUGGAAUUCCUGGUGUAGCGGUGAAAUGCGCAGAUAUCAGGAGGAACACCGGUGGCGAAGGCGGGACUCUGGGCCGAUACUGACGCUGAGGAGCGAAAGCGUGGGGAGCGAACAGG